UGGGGAAUAUUGCACAAUGGGCGCAAGCCUGAUGCAGCAACGCCGCGUGAGGGAUGACGGCCUUCGGGUUGUAAACCUCUUUUAGCAGGGAAGAAGCGUAAGUGACGGUACCUGCAGAAAAAGCACCGGCUAACUACGUGCCAGCAGCCGCGGUAAUACGUAGGGUGCAAGCGUUGUCCGGAAUGAUUGGGCGUAAAGAGCUCGUAGGCGGCUUGUCGCGUCUGCUGUGAAAACCCGGAGCUCAACGCCGGGCCUGCAGUGGGUACGGGCAGGCUAGAGUGCGGUAGGGGAGAGUGGAAUUCCUGGUGUAGCGGUGGAAUGCGCAGAUAUCAGGAGGAACACCGAUGGCGAAGGCAGAUCUCUGGGCCGCUACUGACGCUGAGGAGCGAAAGCAUGGGGAGCGAACA
rnacentral:rRNA from 1 species